CGCCUACGGGGGGCAGCAGUGAGGGAUAUUGCACAAUGGGGGGAACCCUGAUGCAGCGACGCCGCGUGGGCGAUGGAGUGCUUCGGCAUGUAAAGCCCUAUCAGCAGGGAAGAAAAUGACGGUACCUGACUAAGAAGCCCCGGCUAAAUACGUGCCAGCAGCCGCGGUAAUACGUAUGGGGCAAGCGUUAUCCGGAUUUACUGGGUGUAAAGGGAGCGUAGACGGCAUGGCAAGUCUGAAGUGAAAGCCCGGGGCUCAACCGCGGGACUGCUUUGGAAACUGUUAAGCU
rnacentral:rRNA from 1 species